rnacentral:rRNA from 1 species
UAAAGUUGCUGCGGUUAAAAAGCUCGUAGUUGGAUUUCGGAGUUGUUAUCUGAACCUUCUCGCCAUAAAAAGUGGGGGGGCUAAGGUAGCAGUAGUUUUCAUCAUAGUCCACCAGGAUACUCUCUUGGUGUGUACUGGGUGUUAACCUCCUUUUUUCUGGUACUUGCUAUCCAGCAAUGGGUAGUUUUGUCCAGAUAGUUUACUUUGAAAAAAUUAGAGUGUUCAAAGCAGGCAUAAUUGGCAUCAUGAAUACAUUAGCAUGGGAUAAUAGAAUAUGACAUUGGUCUUAUUUUGUUGGUUUCUAAGGCCAAAGUAAUGAUUGAUAGGGAUAGUUGGGGCCGCUCGUAUUGAGUUGUCAGAGGUGAAAAUUCUAGGAUUUACUCAAGACGAACUAAUGCGAAAGCAUUCGGCAAGGAUGUUUUCAUUAAUCAAGAACGAAAGUUGGGGGAUCGAAGAUGAUCAGAUACCGUCGUAGUCUCAACCAUAAACUAUGU